AACAGGUUACUGUUCUGUAAAGAGUUGGAUCCAACGCCUCUUGAAGGCUACUACAGGCUCUCCUUAUCAACUCCUUCUCAAUACGUCCGCGACGUACAGAUCAGUAACUUGUCGCUACGGCAGAAGCUCUGCGUCACUGGCCUACCCUACGCCUAAACACAGAUUG
rnacentral:ribozyme from 1 species